GACGAACCGUACAAACGUUAUUCGGAAUUACUGGGCUUAAAGGGUGCGUAGGCGGCGGUGCAAGUUGGGUGUGAAAUCCCUCGGCUCAACCGAGGAACUGCGCUCAAAACUGCAUCGCUUGAGGGAGAUAGAGGUGAGUGGAACUUAGGGUGGAGCGGUGAAAUGCGUUGAUAUCUGGAGGAACACCGGUGGCGAAGGCGGUUCUCUGGACCAUAACUGACGCUGAGACACGAAAGCGUGGGUAGCAAACAGG
rnacentral:rRNA from 1 species